rnacentral:ncRNA from 1 species
CAAAAGUUUGGUCCUGACUUUACUAUCAACCCUAGCUCAAUUUACACAUGCAAGUAUCCGCCCCCCCGUGAGAAUGCCCUUAAUAUCCCCUUCGGAAUUAAGGAGCUGGCAUCAGGCACCCUAAAAAGCCCAUGACGCCUUGCUAAGCCACACCCCUACGGGUAAUCAGCAGUGAUAAAAUUUAAGCCAUAAGUGAAAACUUGACUUAGUUAAAGCUAACAGGGCCGGUUAACCUCGUGCCAGCCACCGCGGUUAUACGAGGGGCCCAAGUUGAUAGCCUCGGCGUAAAGUGUGGCUAAGAAAUCAUUUCUCCUCUAAUAGGGCCGAACAGACUCAAAGCAGUUAUACGCACCCGAGACUAUGAAGUUCAAACACGAAAGUAGCCCUAUUUUACUUCUGACCCCACGAAAACUAUAAAACAAACUGAGAUUAGAUACCUCACUAUGUAUAGUCGUAAACAUUGAUGGCACAACUCACAAGUCAUCCGCCUGGGUACUACGAGCAUUAGCUUAAAACCCAAAGGACUUGGCGGUGCUUUAGACCCCCCUAGAGGAGCCUGUUCUAGAACUGAUAACCCUCGUUUAACCUCACCACCCCUUGCUCAAUCCGUUUAUAUACCACCGUCGUCAGCUUACCCUGUGAAGGAAGAAAAGUAAGCAUAAAUGGUAAAGCCAAAAACGUCAGGUCGAGGUGUAGCGAAUGAGGUGGGAAGAAAUGGGCUACAUUCUUUCAUUGAAAGAAUACGAAUAAUACUUUGAAAAAAGUAUCUGAAGGAGGAUUUAGUAGUAAGGAGGGAAUAGAGUGCCUUCCUGAAACCGGCCCUAAAGCGCGUACACACCGCCCGUCACUCUCCCCAAAUCAAACUUAAAUGUUACCUAAAACAUUCUAUAUAUCAAGGGGAGGCAAGUCGUAACAUGGUAAGCAUACCGGAAGGUGUGCUUGGAUAAAC